UUAACAGGUGUGACGCAGGAAGGUAGCCAAGCCACGCGGUGGUUGUCGUGGUCUAAGCGUGUAGGAUGGUUGGUUGUUAAAUGCGCCAGCUGUGUGUCUGAGACGUGAUGGGACCCCGUUGUUGGGGGAUUUGGUGAUCCUAUGCUGUCGAGAAAAACCUCUAGCGAGCAACGAGCCGCCCGUACCCCAACCGACUCAGGUGAUCAAGUAGAGAAUACU
rnacentral:rRNA from 12 species